rnacentral:rRNA from 1 species
AGUGAACGCUGGCGGCGUGCUUAACACAUGCAAGUCGAACGAGAAACGGAUUUAGCUUGCUAAAUUGCAGUCUAAGUGGCGCACGGGUGAGUAAUGUAUAGGUAAUAUGCCUCUUACUAAGGGAUAACAAUUGGAAACGAUUGCUAAUACCUUAUAUGCCUUUAAGACUAAAGUCUGCAAGGGAAAGAUUUAUUGGUAAGAGAUUAGCCUGUAUUGUAUCAGCUAGUUGGUGAGGUAAUGGCUCACCAAGGCUAUGACGCAUAACUGGUUUGAGAGGAUGAUCAGUCACACUGGAACUGAGACACGGUCCAGACUCCUACGGGAGGCGGCAGUGGGGAAUAUUGCACAAUGGACGAAAGUCUGAUGCAGCAACGCCGCGUGGAGGAUGACACAUUUCGGUGCGUAAACUCCUUUUAUAUAGGGAGAUAAUGACGGUACUAUAUGAAUAAGCACCGGCUAACUCCGUGCCAGCCGCCGCCGUAA